rnacentral:rRNA from 1 species
UACGUAGGUGGCAAGCGUUAUCCGGAAUUAUUGGGCGUAAAGCGCGCGUAGGCGGUUUUUUAAGUCUGAUGUGAAAGCCCACGGCUUAACCGGGGAGGGUCAUUGGAAACUGGAGGACUUGAGUGCAGAAGAGGAGAGUGGAAUUCCACGUGGAGCGGUGAAAUGCGUAGAGAUGUGGAGGAACACCAGUGGCGAAGGCGACUCUCUGGUCUGUAACUGACGCUGAGGCGCGAAAGCGUGGGGAGCGAACAGG